AGUUCUUUCCUCUUCCUUGGAGAGAGCAUAUCGCCUUCAUCUCUUUCUGAGACUUUUCUGUUAAUUUGAGGACUUUUUUUUUGAAGGUCAGGCUCUGGAAUUUCAUGAUUUAGCAUUAAAAGCAAAAGGCAGGCCAGUGAAGCUCAAUUUUCAUGGUAGAAAUGGAAUCGGAACACAAAGGAAUCUCCUUAGUCAUACAGGGACCAUGAAGCACUCACCUUCCAUACUUGAUAUGCAAGAGAAAACUUGCCUGACAACCAAAACCACACGGAGAAAACUGAGCCAAGAGGUGGAGAAAGGCAAUUCCUGAAAACAUCUUGCUUUUCAAAUAUGUGAACCAAUAAAUUGCUUUGGGCACUUGAGCCAGGUUGGGUUGGGGUUUUGUCACUUAAAACUGAAAUAGUCCUCCCAUGAGCACAGACGCCAGAGGGUUAAAUGAAACAAUCUGGAGCUUGUGGGACUCAGCCUAGGAGGAAAAGGGGAUGGCUUAAAGGUGACCUCAAGAAUGUCAUCCAUCAGAGAUUUGAAGAAUAGUGGAUGCAGGCAUAGAAACAAGAGCACUGGAAGAAAUGAACUAGCUGGGGACCGUGGAGAAUCAAAUUCAGGACCUGUUGAGUUUGAAGUGAUGGUUGAUGGAAAUGUGAAGGAAAUCAAAACCCCAAAAUAUGCAGGCCUCUUCGACAUAAAAAUGAUUUUAAGCUGAAGGCAACUGAGAAGCAGCAAACUCAGAAAGAGCUCCUCCUUUUUGCCGAAAAGCAGGACAUAAAUUCUUUUACUGGAGACAAGUUCUCACAUCAGCCCAGAGAUGCAAUAGAAAAUCAGCACAAACUUUCCUCUGUUAGCUUCCUUCCUAGAUUUACCUUCCCUUGGGAGACUGAAACUGCUUUGUUCUGUUAUUUCUCUACAGGUGUACUGUUCUCUGUUGAAGACGCUCUAUCAGCUGGAAUUCUAAGCCACCAUUGUCAGCAGGGCCUUGGAGGCCAAGAGGUCUGGGUUUUAUUCUAAGUGCAACAACAGAAAGCCGCUAAAGGUGUUAAACAGCGGGUGACCAGCUGUGACUUGGGUUUUAUGAUCGUCCCAGCUGCUGGGUGGAGAACAGAAUGGAGCCGAUAAAGAACAAGAAACUGGGGAGCCAGUUAGGAGGCCGCUGCAGUGUAAGGCAGGCGGGGGCGGAUGUCAGAGCACGCUGUCUGCUGUAUUAUAAUGUACACGAGAGGGGAUUCCCCGGAGCAAAUUACCCUUUCCUCCCUUUCCAGCCAUCACUGUGCGUGAUUGAGAGUAAUCCCUGGAAACUGUUUACCUUCAUACCUCCCAUUUAUUACUUAGCACGCUGGAAGAGCUGGAGAACCACCUGGAUAAUUUUCCAAUGACAGUAAAAUAAAUUAUAAAGCUGAGAGAAAAAGCACAUUAGAAAGAAAGGGAGAAAUACAGCCACUGUCAGUCAAGACAUGUUUCCCAGCUCUCCCACUGUGAUACUUAAUACACAGAUUUUCCUAUUUUCCAGUGUGAGGCUGGCCCCAAUUCCUCUUCCAAGCUCAGGAAAAGCACAACAGUUUCCCUACAGGCUUUUCAUUUUACAAAGCUCCCUGGAAAAUACUGUCAAUGUGCUGCUAACACUGGGGUUUAAUAAUGAAGAGGAAAAAUGUUGCUCUUUAUACCCAUCACUCUUCCAAUACUCUGUUUCUCUUUAUUUUUCAUGUUUGCUGUGUCAUUCCUACUUAGCUUUGGCAAAUGAGAGCGAGGCAGCCUCCCGGGAAUUUAGUGUUCAGUGCCUAGUAUUCAAUGCUGGGCAGGGGAGUUGGCUGCCCAAGACGAGCAUCCUCUCUCAUCCUUCCCUCUCCAGCUGUCAUCCCGCAGUCCCUUGAUGGCAGUGCCGGAACCUAAGACCUGACUUCUUGGGUCCCACUAAUGACUAUAUAGGAAUAAAUAAUUUAGAUUGUUAAUGAAGGUUUGUUAUUUCCCAAUGAGACCAACUUUCUAACAUCCCUAGGCUUCAGAGAGUGUGCCUUUUUAAAAUACUGCCAUUUGCAGCAAUGGACUUGGAGAUCAUCAUACUAAGUGAAGUAAGCCAGAAAGAGAAAGAAAAAUACCAUAUGAUGUCAUUUAUACGUGGAAUCCAAAAAAAAAGAAAAAGAAGGUGGGGGGCACAAAUGCACUUAUUCACAGAACAGAGACAGACUCUCAGACACAGAAAACAAACUUAUGGUUACCAGGGGAAAAAGCGGGUGGGGAGGUGGGGAGGGAUAGAUUGGGAGCUUGGGAUUGGCAGAUGCUAAUUACUGUAUGUAAAAUAGAUAAAACACAAGGUUAAAAACAAAACAAAACAAAACAAAA